UGGGGAAUAUUGCACAAUGGGGGGAAACCCUGAUGCAGCAACGCCGCGUGAAGGAAGACGGUUUUCGGAUUGUAAAACUUCUAUCAAUAGGGAAGAAAGGAAUGACGGUACCUAAAUAAGAAGCCCCGGCUAACUACGUGCC
rnacentral:rRNA from 1 species